ensembl:lncRNA
AUGCAAGUUAAUCCUUCUCUUACUAAAAAGAUUCUAAAUCCCCCCAUUAUCCUGAUAACAAAGCCCUAUCUGACUAGUGUGAUAUUGAAAAUAUGCAGGGUGUCUGCGACCUUGCUUUCUAACCAAGUUUCCUACUCUUUCUUCCACAAGCCUCCUGCUUCAAUCAAACUGGCCCAGGGACUAUAUCGGGUCAGAUGGAUCGCUACCUUUCUAUCUUUGCUAACGCUAGAAUGUACUCCUCUUCAUCUUACGUUUGUCAACUUUCUGAAAGUGGUGUUGACACAUCCAGCAUGGCCACUUUCAAGCCCCUAGGGAGAUGUUACUGAAGAAAGGGUUGAAAAGAGAUACUCACCAUUGGCUCUCAUGAGCUACUGCAGGCUGGUUCCAGUGCACCACUGAGUGCUGAGUAGUAGAGCUUCAAACAUCCUUUGAAGACUGUUCAUCUUCUGUCGCAUGGUGGACCUAACAAUGAAAUUCUCCCACUUUUGUCUGAAAAUGAGAAAUCAUAAGAAACAAAAACUGAUCAGGCUGGGCUGGGUGUGGUGGCUCAUACCUGUGAUCUCAGCACUUUAGGAGGCUGAGGUGGGUGGAUCACGAGAUCAUGAGUUUGAGACCAGCCUGACCAACAUGGUAAAAUGCCAUCUCUACUAAAAAUACAAAAAUUAGGUGGGUGUGGUAGCAAGUGCCUGUAAUUCCAGCUACUCAGGAAGCUGAAGCAGGAGAAUCACUUGAACCUGGGAGGUGGAGGUUGCAGUGAGCCAAGAUCAUGCCACUGCACUCCAGCCUGGGCAACAGAGCGAUACUCCAUCAAAAAAAAAAAAAGAAGAAAAAGACAAAGACUGGUCAAAUAUAUUCUUUCUCCUAAGAAUCUGAAUCUUGACUAGAGCAUAAAUAAAAAACAAAUGUUUGGUGGGGGGGAAUUCCUAAGAAUUCUUGUUAUCCAGACUUAAACCCCACCCCAUCCCUGAGCUGUAAUCUACCUCCUUAAUGAAACCUCAUCUUCCUUCUUUUCCCCCCAUGGUUAUAUAAACUUUCUCAAGUCCUUCUUAUGAAUUACUUAUUUUCUUUAACAUUCCUAGAAUUAGUCUCUGACAUAAAGUGUAAAUCAACAGAUUUGCUAUUGCUUAGUUUUUUACUGUGUGUAUUUAAAUAGCUGCUCCACAACGCUCUUUUCCCAAACUCAUUUUGAGUCUUAUGGGGUUGGAGAGACUGCAGUAGAAGGAGUCAAGUGUAAUUUAUUUACAAAGGCACAAGGUGACACACCUUCUUUUCAACUUUUCUCAUUAUGCCAACUAAUUAUAUUUAAUAUUAACAAAGAGUGUUUGGGGACGUGGAAAAGUAUCAUAUUUAUCAUAUUAAGGUAAAAACUAAGCUCCGUAACAAAGGAACUUAGAGCAAUACGGAAGCUUAAAAGAAAACGGA